rnacentral:tRNA from 1 species
GACUCUUUAGCACAGUAGGCAGUGUGUCAGUCUUGAAACCUGAAGGUUCGAUCCUCGGAAGGAGGGUAUGAUAUACUGGGAGGCUUCUGGAGACAAGAAGAGUCU